rnacentral:miRNA from 1 species
AUACCCUGUGAGUAGGGAACGU